UUUGCUGGAGUGGAGGUUGACUGUUGCAAAUCAAAUUCACGGUGUCAUUUCGUUAUGUAACCGUAGCUGGACUGAAGGUUUGAUAAUUCAAAUCAAACUUACGUACGGUAGUAUUUGGUCAGACAACAGGCAGCUUCCCGAAACCUUAGCUUCAUGACAACCUUAUCUGACAAGAUCGAAGAUGAUUUUAAGUUUUUUCGUUCUCUUCACACUCGAGCGUGCUUUAUCUUCCUUACAGGCGUUCAUUUCGGCCGUGUUCGUCUUGUAUAGCUGGAAUUGGUGUCCAUCAUCGAUAUUACAGUGACUGCGUCUUGUCUAUAAGCGCCGAAAGACCAGAACGUUCCUACCAAUAACCUGAGACACCAUCACUACCAUCAGCAAUGCCACUCCCCAGAAGAUACCAUCCUCACAACUACUACCAUUUCACUACCAUAUCCUAUACCCUUCCAUGAAUACCUGCACGUUCCCAUCAAAAGCUAAACCACCAUUACCUUCACUGUCCCUACCAAAGCCAUACCCAGCAGACACCACCACCAUCACCCCUAUCCCCAUUUCCUAACCAUGACCAAUAUCACUUCACAGAUACCGCCGCCAUCGCCACCGCCGCUACCAUCCACCGGGACGGACUCAGCCAUCACCGCCAUCAUCACGAUCACCAAAAUAAUUACGCCCGCCGCCACAGCCGCAGCGCCAUCAGAACGUGGCUGGCUCUGCGGCGGCCUGGCCAGUCACGAGUGAAGAGUAAUGACCCGCGCGGCAGUUAACACACAUUGCGUCCAGGACAGGAAGAUCAGCACCUCCAGGACACUCAACCUGACCACCCGCUUGAAGCAUUAAACACAAGGACCAGAAGAAGAGGGGAUGAGGGGUGGCAAAGAGUCCUACCACCACCAGCAUCCCAAUUACUUCUUAUCCUUCUGUCUUCCCACGCCCACGCCUGUCCCACCAUCCCGCUGUAGCCCCGGAUGCUGCUCUAACUGCUCCCUGACGCCUCAAGCACACUCAAGAGGCUUUAGACCCCCCUAAGAGCAGCGUUGGGUUGGUUCUAAUGUCCUUCGGAUCAACAUAGGCGAGGGUUGACGCAGAACGAUCAACUCUGCGUCACCUCGAGCCGAAAAUAAAGGUGGGGAGGCGCAGAUGUUGAGCACCUGAGCGUCUGAUUGCAAUGCAGCCUCCCGCCGCUCCGUCCUGCACGCCCUCAUGUACUCACUCACCUGUCCUCCGCGCCACACCGCCCACACCACACCAAAAAGCAACGAUGAACGCAUUUUAGAACAAAUGUGCUUUAAAAGUAUAAGCAUACAUUAAAAAAAAAAUGUAAAUAUUACGUGCACCUACAAAGAGUCAUCUGUGAUACUAUAUUAGAAUGUGACUGACAGUGAUAAGAAACAAAUAUAAAGUUCAUGACUCAAUGAAAACUUAACUAAAAGAGAAAUGGAAACAAAAAGCUGAGAGCAUUUCAACAUCCAUAUUUGUUACCGUCCGAGAUGCAUCAUUUAAUUGUAAUUUUAUUCUGGAAUGCUGCCAAACACCAAAGGGUGAUUAUCAUAGAAAAUGCUGCUGAGUAACACCUUGGAGGCAAACUUCGGGACUUCCAACAGUACAAACCAUCAGUGUGUGUGUGUGUGUGUGUGUGUGUGUGUGUGUGUGUGUGUGUGUGUAUCAUCUGAAUGAGUAUAC